CAUGUUCAUUUUCCUACACUUUGGUGAAAGUCAUCGUUCAGUUUAUGGCAUCCUACGGUUAAAAUAAAUAGUCGUUAAGACAAUAGAGCCCCAGGAGUAGAUAGUGUCGCGUAGCAACGCUUCGACGUAUAUGACGAGAGUUGUCAAACGUCAUAUCGUGCAGCAACGUACAUCACGAGAGUUGUCAAACUUCUAGACAUUGAUAAUUUCAACAGCUCCGUCAGCAAUACUCGUAGUCUUAGCGUAAAAGUGCUUACUUUAGACGCUGUAGACCCGGGUUCGAUACACCUACCAGUGUAUGGAAUUUUUUGGGUUUUGUAAAGUUAAAGAAAAUUUCUAGUAAGUUCAGGAUCAAAUCGAACAGAAAAAAAAGGAUGGAAUAUGUGUAAGCAGGAUAAAAAUAGUUAAAAGAAUUUUCUAGUACAAUUUAAAUUUAAAGAUAGAAUGGGAGAAUCAUAUUGAAAAUAGAACAGAUCCGGGGGUAUAUAAGCCAUACUAAGCGUGGCCUGCGGCAGUUCUAGUUCUGACUCGAAAGUGUAAAGAAGAAGAAGAAGAAAAGAAGAAGUAGUGAAAAGUGGAAGUGUUCCAAGAAGAAGAAGAUAGAAGAGACUUAGUGUUCGGUGCGGUGUGACGCGUUGAAGGUACCGCCGGCCGCCCACAAGAGGAACAGCGGCAGACCGGCGAAGUGCAAGUUCAGAAAAAGUGAACGCAAAUAAAGACUCGUUCCUAUAAGCGGAGUAUUAUUUGCAAUCCCUGACCCACUCUCGUGUCAAUAGUAAUUAAAAAGAGUAAUAACAACUGUAUAUACGUUGAGAGCGUUAUCUGUUCAAGAUAUAUCAUAUCAAGUCAAGGUCAAUAUAUCUUAUAUUUAACCGACGAAUCACGAAUGUUGCCUAGAAUCAAAUAGAUGUGUAUCAUAAAUCAUAGUCAAACAGUUGUACAGCAAAAUCCGAAGUACGCUUGCUUAAAUUACUUACAUAUUUUAUAAAAUGCUAUCUUUUAGAAAAGUUACUUGUUUGCUGCAAAAAGAAUUAGGCCAACUUAGAUCAAUGGGAUGUUCUCCUGCAAGUUCAUCUCACAGAGUGCUGAUGACAUUUUUAUCUAAAACAAAUUAUUCUACAUCAAAUAAUCGGGCGACAGUGGAUGACAAAGAGUUAGAGAGAUUUAACAAAUUAGAUUGGUGGAACCCAAACGGCGCCUGUCGAGGAUUACAUUCUUUUAACGAACUCAGAGUUCCAUUUGUUAGAGAUGUGGUUGCAGGUGAUUCAAUGGAUAAACAUUCAUUAGAUGUGUUCACGGAUAAAAAAGUGCUUGAAGUUGGUUGUGGAGCUGGAAUUUUUGCAGAAGUAGGGAUUAGCAAAAGCUGGCGUUAAUAUAACAGCAAUCGAUCCAAGCCCGGAAUUAAUUGAUAUUGCGCAAAACCACAGCGAUUCAAACCCAGAUAUUGCGAACAACAAACCAAUGUAUUAUUGCACAACUAUUG